rnacentral:rRNA from 1 species
GGCGCCUACGGGAGGCAGCAGUGGGGAAUAUUGCACAAUGGGCGAAAGCCUGAUGCAGCAACGCCGCGUGAAGGAAGACGGUUUUCGGAUUGUAAACUUCUGUUCUUAGUGAAGAAUAAUGACGGUAACUAAGGAGCAAGCCACGGCUAACUACGUGCCAGCAGCCGCGGUAAUACGUAGGUGGCGAGCGUUAUCCGGAAUGAUUGGGCGUAAAGGGUGCGCAGGCGGUCCUGCAAGUCUGGAGUGAAACGUAUGAGCUCAACUCAUGCAUUGCUCUGGAAACUGGAGGACUGGAGAGCAGGAGG